GAAGUUACUCUGAUUCGAAGGACGAUCCACAUUAUAAACUGGAGACAUUAUCCUAUUGACUCUCAGUAUUGAGACGUCAGUUCAGUUUCCUCAGGAUCAGCUGAUGGUGAAUAAGAGCCGCUACAGAGACGUCACAGUCACACAAUCAACACAGACUG